UACGUAGGGGGCGAGCGUUGUCCGAAGUUACUGGGCGUAAAGCGCGCGUAGGCGGUCUAUUAAGUCUGAGGUGAAAGGUUCAGCGCUCAACGCGAACAGUGCCUUGGAUACUGGUAGACUUGAGUGUGGCAGAGGAGUAUGGAAUUCCUGGUGUAGCGGUGAAAUGCGCAGAUAUCAGGAGGAACACCGGUGGCGAAGGCGGGUCUCUGGGCCGACACUGACGCUGAGGAGCGAAAGCGUGGGGAGCGAACAGG
rnacentral:rRNA from 1 species